GGCUCCUGAAGAUGUAAGCAAUAAAGCUUUUGCCGCAGAAGAUUCUGGUUUGCUGCGUCUUUCCUGGCCGGUCGCGAGAACGCGUGUAAGAGUUGGUGCUGAGACCCGGGACGAGAAGACCUGGGACGAGAAAACCCGGGACAAGAAAACCCGGGACGGUUACCAUCACCGGAGCAUGGAAGAUCCCUCAUUCCGGAACCAGAACUGCGGGUCAUGGUAAUGAAGUGUUCCCGUAAAACAGACUGUUGAGAAGGAUCCAGCCUGGAUUCAGAACUCCUCAGCUGGGGAACGGUGGUAAUGAAGUGUUCCCGCAAAACAGACUGUUGAGAAGGAUUCAACUGCGUGAAUUCAGAACUCUUCAGCUGGGGAACAGGGUACCCGUAAGUAUAGCUUUACAAGGUAAGUCUGGUCUUGAACUUUCUAACGAAAUUCAAGACAGUCUAUCAGAAGUAAAGUGGGAAAUAGCUUUACAAGGUAUGUUUGGCCUUAAACUUUCUCUAGUGUUAGAAGCCCUUUUGUUCCUUUUCACAUGUUAUCAAGCGGUUAAGGCAGGGCUGAAAAUUCUGGAUGAAAUUCAGGGCAAUCUAUCAGAAGUAAAGCGGGGAGAGAGAGUAGGAGCAAAGAGGAAAUAUGGUUCACAAAAUAAGUAUACAGGCCUUUCCACGGGUCUUGAACCCGAGGAAAAGUUUAGGUCAGGUAAGAAUACCUGGGGAGAGAUUAGAAGGAAGGAAAA
rnacentral:lncRNA from 1 species